rnacentral:rRNA from 1 species
GGAUGACUCUCGGCAACGGAUAUCUCGGCUCUCGCAUCGAUGAAGAACGUAGCGAAAUGCGAUACCUGGUGUGAAUUGCAGAAUCCCGUGAACCAUCGAGUCUUUGAACGCAAGUUGCGCCCGAGGCCAUCCGGCCAAGGGCACGCCUGCCUGGGCGUCACGCUU